AAACAUGUUUCAAAUUAUCUUACAGCUGCUUGUGGGGCUUUAAAUGUCACUAAACACAAUUAAACACUGGAAAAUAUCAUCAUUUACUUCUAAAGUCUCCUCAUACUGUACUGAUGACUCUACACCAAAUCUGGCCAAUCACAUGCUCUCCACAGAAAGUCCCUCCCCCAACAAACACGCGACAGAGCAGCAGCACAACAAACACACUUUCUGGACUCUCUACUGGAAAUAUGAGCUCAUAAAUACCUUUCCUGGAGCUGUGAAUCCGCCUGGAUGUGGAGGAGCGUGUGGAGGAGCGUCAGCUGUUGAGCGCAGCUCAAAUAUCUGCAGCAGAAACACAACAGACACACGUGUGUAUCUUCACUGCUGCAGAGGAGAGAGAGAGAGAGAGCAAUGACUGAACACAAACACUACAACAACAUCACUACAAACUAAACCAACGAAGCAAAGUCCCUUACAGGAUCAGUGAAGUGUUGUGGACUGUAAGCCUGUUAAACAGAAGUAGAGACGAGUGGACAGACACUGACUGUACUGAUGAUGAUCAUCUGCUGCUGCACAGGCUGUAAAGUAUAACCCCUGCUGGACACGGCUCCGGAAG